UCUAUGUGAGUGAGUUUAAAGAUGCAUUUUAUGCUCAGAAAAAUCUCAAUUCUCAUGGAGAGGCAUCCAAUUGAAUUUCGUGAGUUGUCCCCUCAACAUACUUAUUGACAAUAUAAAUGAGAAGCUGACAACUACAGCAUGUUCUCAAGGAAACAGAGAAGGGAAAACAAUUUAUGACAGCCUUAAAUGCAUCUUUAAACUCACUCACAUAGA
rnacentral:misc_RNA from 1 species